AUUUACCUGAUAAACCAACCAACGUUGCCGUUCUGAAGCAUUCUGUCACCACAUCUUCCUUCACAAUCAUUUGGCAAAGUACAUCUUCAAAUGAGUAUCCAGAAACAUUUACCGUGAAGUGUUGCACUGUCCUCAAUUGCACUAAGAUAUCCAAUGUCACGCAGCCGAGACUGGCAAUCGCCCAUCUUUGGCCAUCGACAGUCUACAGAGUAACUAUAAUGAGCAGGAAUGCAUUUGGUACUGGCAAAAUCAGCGACCCUACUAAAAUAGUAACAAAACCAUUGGCUCCGUCGGAACUAGGUAUAAAGGCUGUAUAUGACACCAUAGAGAACCGAGUGGAUAUAACUCGGCCUGAUACCUGGAAUGGCCCACUGCCAUUUGGUCUCUGCUUUCAACUGGUAAAUGCCACCACCACUACAGACGAAAUCGACCCAAGGUUGAGAAUCGACUGUGUUGGUGUUGGGGGAGCUGUCCCAAUCCCUACUGGCUGGUCAGUGGGUAAUAUCAAAGUGCGAAGUGUUCAUCAUGGCCUCUUCAGCUUGCCAUCUGAUAUUCAUUACAAUGAAG